GCCCCUAUAGCUCAGUUGGUAGAGCAGCAGACUUUUAAUCUGCGGGUCGUCCGUUCGAGCCGGACUGGGGGCACC
rnacentral:tRNA from 1 species